CUACGUGCCAGCAGCCGCGGUAAUACGGAAGGUCCAGGCGUUAUCCGGAUUUAUUGGGUUUAAAGGGAGCGUAGGCUGGAGAUUAAGUGUGUUGUGAAAUGUAGACGCUCAACGUCUGAAUUGCAGCGCAUACUGGUUUCCUUGAGUACGCACAACGUUGGCGGAAUUCGUCGUGUAGCGGUGAAAUGCUUAGAUAUGACGAAGAACUCCGAUUGCGAAGGCAGCUGACGGGAGCGCAACUGACGCUUAAGCUCGAAGGUGCGGGUAUCGAACAGGAUUAGAUACCCUGGUAGUCCGCACAGUAAACGAUGGAUGCCCGCUGUUGGUACCUGGUAUCAGCGGCUAAGCGAAAGCAUUAAGCAUCCCACCUGGGGAGUACGCCGGCAACGGUGAAACUCAAAGGAAUUGACGGGGGCCCGCACAAGCGGAGGAACAUGUGGUUUAAUUCGAUGAUACGCGAGGAACCUUACCCGGGCUUGAAUUGCAGAGGAAUUAUUUAGAGAUAAAUAGGCC
rnacentral:rRNA from 1 species